AUCUCGUGCAGAAACACUUCAGAGCUAUUGAUUUUCAGCCAGCUGGUGAAAGGUGUGAUCGAGUCAUGGUUGAGUUGCAGCUUCUGCAUGCAGUUUAUCGAGCUGGUGCUAUCCCAAGUGUAACUGCAGGAAAACUUCUUGAAUUGCCAGGUGAAGUCUGCGCUUUUUUUUUGCAGUCUAAUGUGCGCAUGGAUUCGUUGCAGUCAUCCAGUGAAAGGUGUGAU
rnacentral:lncRNA from 1 species